GGAGAGAGAGAGAGAGAGAGAGAGAGAGAGAGAGAGAGAGAGAGAGCAAAAACAAAGUCACAUAAAUCAGUUUGCGCACGAGAGAAAACAUGAAUCAGGAAGCAUGUCCCUGCAUGAAUCAACUCCUUUGAUCAUUAUCACACACGCUC